rnacentral:rRNA from 1 species
ACACACGUGUUACAAUGGGGGGUACAGAAGGCAGCUACACGGCGACGUGAUGCUAAUCCCCAAAACCUCUCUCAGUUCGGAUUGGAGUCUGCAACCCGACUCCAUGAAGCUGGAUUCGCUAGUAAUCGCGCAUCAGCCACGGCGCGGUGAAUACGUUCCCGGGCCUUGUACACACCGCCCGUCAAGCCAUGAAAGCCGGGGGUACCUGAAGUCCGUAACCGUAAGGAGCGGCCUAGGGUAAAACUGGUAAUUGGGGCUAAGUCGUAACAAGGUACC